rnacentral:lncRNA from 1 species
UCAAUAGCAGAACAAAAUUAUAUGGUUUUUGUCUUAAGAAUAAGUUAAAAUAGGAAGAUUUUUACAACAGAUUUUAAAACUCAACUUCCUUCAAGGGUGACCAUCUUUGACGUUUUCUUUUCAGAUGCCUGAAAAUAUUUUUGCAAAAGAGAAGAGGAUCUCUUAUGCUACCUCAGGAAAACUGUCACUGCUUUUCUCUUGUCCUCUAAUUCAGUACCACAGAUCAGCAACUACUCUGAGGAAGAAAGCAAUUAAAGAGGAAUUCAGUGCCAAGCCAUGAGUACACGCAGCCCUGUGAAAAGAUCAAGUAGUGAGAAACUGAGUCCUUCUACCAAUAGUCAGUGAGAAAUUGAGGUAUCCUGUCAACAGUCACAUGAGUGAGUCAUUUUGAAAUGGAUUUUCCAUCGCCAGUCAAGCCUAUGGAUGACUGAAGUCUGAGCUUAUAGCAUGACUGCAAACUCUUGAGACUCAAAGCCAUAAUCAUUCAGUUAAGCUGCUUCUGCAUUCUUGACCGUCAACCACUGUGUGGGAUAAUAAAGGAACUGCCGUACUGUUUUCCAUAGAAGCUACACCAUUUUAAAUUUCCACCAACAGUGAACAAGGAUUCAGUUAAUGUACUUCCUCAUCAACACCUGUUAAUUUUUGUUUUCUUGAUAAGAUCCAUCCUGCUGGGUAUAAGGUGAUAUCUCAUUAUGGUUUUGAUUUGCUUUUCUCUGAUGAUUUGUGACGUUAAGCAUCUUUUCAAAUGUCUGUUGGCUAUUUAUAUAUCCUCUUUAGAGAAAUGUCUUUUCAAGUUUUUUUGUCCAUUUGUUAUUCAGGUUUUGUUGUUGUUGCUGCUGUUGUGUUGUAAGAGUUUUUUUAAAUGUAUUCUUGUUAUUACUUCCUUAUCAGAUCUAUAAUUUGAAAAUAUUUUCUCUUAUUCCACAGGUGUCUUUCACUCUGUUAAUUGUAUCCAUUGAUGUGCAAAGUUUUCAGUUUUGCUCUGUAUAGUCCAAUUUAUAUGUUUUUACUUUUGUUGCCCGUAAAAUUAGUGUUGUCUUAAGACACUAAAUUUUGGGUAAAAUGAUUACACAGAAAUAGCAAACAGAGGAGGCUAUUAUUUUAUUUAUCUAUAUUAAUGAUAUAAUUUGGCUCUGUGUCCUCACCCGAAUCUCAUCUUGAAAUGUAAUCCCACAUGUCGAGGGAGGGGCCUGAUGGGAGGUAAUUGGAUCACGGAGGCGGUUUCACUCAUGCUGUUCUCGUGAAAGUGAGUGAGUUCUCAUGUUAUCUGAUGGUUUCAAAGUGUGUCACUUCCCCCUUUCUCUCUCCUGCCAUCAUGUAAGACGUGCUUUGCUUCCACUUCACUUUCCGCCAUGAUCAUUAAGUUUCCUGAGGCCUCCCCACCCAUGUAGAAUUGUGAGUCAAUUAAACCUCUUUUCUUCUUAAAAUUACCCAGUUCUGGUAGUUCUUUAUAGCAGUUUGAAAACAGACUAACACAACUAUUUUAUUUCAGAGACAGUUUCACCGCAUUGUUCAGGCUGUCCUUAAAUCCCUGGACUCAAGUGAUCCUCCUGCAUCACCCUCCUAAGUGGCUGGGACUGCAGAUAUGCGCCAGCACUCCCAGCUAUAGGAGGCAAAAAAAUGUUUUCUUUGAAUGCUUUGUAAUAAUCACUUUAAAAUUAUUAUUGAAAUAUACUUAAGAUGAUGCUGGACAUAAAUUGUGAGGAUAUAUCUUAUAAAAGCAGAUAACUGAAUUGGAGAAAUUAGUGAAAUAGUUGACAGUAUAAAGUGUAAAAUAGUGGAGAGAGAGUAAAAUCUAGAAAAGAUGGGAGUUGAAAAAUGUAUAAAAGAGCUUAAGAAUAUGUAGGACAAGAUGGGGAAAUGAUAACAUACUUGUAACUAGAGACCUUGAAGAG